rnacentral:rRNA from 1 species
GGAGGGCAAGUCUGGUGCCAGCAGCCGCGGUAAUUCCAGCUCCAAUAGCGUAUAUUAAAGUUGUUGCAGUUAAAAAGCUCGUAGUUGGAUUUCUGGAGGAGUGCCAAUGUCCGCAUGUUGCGUGUGCAGCGGCGCUCUUCCAUCCUUCUGUUAACGAUUCUUGGUAUUCAGUUACUGGUUUCGGGCUCAGAUAUUUUACCUUGAGAAAAUUAGAGUGUUUAAAGCAGGC